CUUGCCUACGGGAGGCAGCAGUGGGGAAUAUUGCACAAUGGGGGAAACCCUGAUGCAGCGACGCCGCGGGGGCGAGGAAGUACCUCGGUAUGUAAAGCCCUAUCAGCAGGGAAGAAACAGGACAGUACCUGACUAAGAAGCCCCGGCUAACUACGUGCCAGCAGCCGCGGAAAUACGUAGGGGGCAAGCGUUAUCCGGAUUCACUGGACGUAAAGGGAGCGCAGGCGGCAUGGCAAGGCUGAUGUGAAAACCCGGGGCCCAACUCCGGGAGUGCAUUGGAAACUGCCAGGCUGGAGUGUCGGAGG
rnacentral:rRNA from 1 species